AGAACCUGAAACCCUGUGUUUACAAGCAGUGAAAGUGCGAGCAAGGCACGAUCACGUACUUUUUGUAGAACGGACCGGCGAGUUACGUUAUGUAGCAAGGUUAAGAACUGAAGGUUCGGAGCCGAAGCGAAAGCGAGUCUGAAUAGGGCGAAAGUUGCAUGACGUAGACCCGAAACCGGGUGACCUAUCCAUGAGCAGGUUGAAGUGGAGGUAAAGCUCCAUGGAGGACCGAACCAGACGUCUGUUGAAAAAGGCGGGGAUGACUUGUGGAUAGGGGAGAAAUUCCAAUCGAACCCGGAGAUAGCUGGUUCUCCUCGAAAUAGCUUUAGGGCUAGCCUCAUGGAUCAUUGAUGGGGGUAGAGCACUGAAUGUGCGCGGGGGCCACAAAGCCUACCAAACGCUAUCAAACUUCGAAUACCAUACAAUGCAGACCAUGGGAGUCAGUCCGCGAGAGAUAAGUUCCGCGGGCAAAAGGGGAACACCCCAGAUCAACCGCUAAGGUCCCCAAGUUCACGUUAAGUGGAGAAGGAUGUGGAAUUGCACAGACAACCAGGAUGUUGGCUCAGAAGCAGCCACACAUUUAAAGAGUGCGUAAUAGCUCACUGGUCGAGUGAUUGUGCGCCGAAGAUGUCCGGGGCUAAACGUGACACCGAAGCGAUGGGUGCAUCUGAAGAAGAUGCGCGGUAGAGGAGCAAUGUGCAGAGGCAGAAGCCGUAUCGAGAGGCACGGUGGACACUGCACAAGAGAGAAUGCCGGUAUGAGUAGCGAGAGGCAUGCGAGAAACAUGCCCGUCGAAAGCCCAAGGUUUCCUGGGGAAGGUUCAUCCGCCCAGGGUAAGUCGGGGCCUAAGCCGAGGACGGAAGUCGUAGGCGAUGGACAGCAGGUGUAGAUUCCUGCACUACCGAUGGAAUGAAGCAGUGACACAGAAGGAUAACUCGAGCAGGGUGAUGGUCAACCCUGUGCAAGCAUCAAGGUUGGGUUGUAGUGAAGUACGCAAUCCUAUAAGCUGAGGUGUGAUGCGGACCGAAAUUUCAGUAGGGAAGCGAGUGAGUUCACGCUGGCGAGAAAAGCUGCUAGUACAUCCAAAGGUACCCGUACCGGAAACCGACGCAGGUGGGCGAGGAGAGAAUCCUGAGACGAACGGGAGAACCCUUGUUAAGGAACUCGGCAAAAUGACCCCGUAACUUCGGGAUAAGGGGUGCCUGCGAGAGCAGGCCGCAGAGAAUAGUCACAAGCGACUGUUUAGCAAAAACACAGGUAUCUGCGAAAGCGAGAGCUGACGUAUAGGUGCUGACACCUGCCCGGUGCUGGAAGGUUAAGGGAACAUGUUAGAGCAAUCGAAGCAUCGAACCGAAGCCCCAGUAAACGGCGGCCGUAACUAUAACGGUCCUAAGGUAGCGAAAUUCCUUGUCGGGUAAGUUCCGACCCGCACGAAUGGUGUAACGACUUGUGAGCUGUCUCAACAGGGGGCCCGGUGAAAUUGAAGUAUGGGUGAAGAUGCCCAUUACCCGCGACUGGACGGAAAGACCCCGUAGAGCUUUACUGCAGCCUGAUAUUGAGUUUCGGUAACUGAUGCACAGGAUA
rnacentral:rRNA from 1 species